rnacentral:rRNA from 1 species
CAGCAGCCGCGGUAAUACGGAGGAUCCAAGCGUUAUCCGGAAUCAUUGGGUUUAAAGGGUCCGUAGGCGGUCUUGUAAGUCAGUGGUGAAAGCCCAUCGCUCAACGGUGGAACGGCCAUUGAUACUGCAGGACUUGAAUUAUUGGGAAGUAACUAGAAUAUGUAGUGUAGCGGUGAAAUGCUUAGAGAUUACAUGGAAUACCAAUUGCGAAGGCAGGUUACUACCAAUUGAUUGACGCUGAUGGACGAAAGCGUGGGUAGCGAACAGGAUUAGAUACCCGUGUAGUCCCUGUCUCUUAUAA